UGGGCGUGUGUUCGAUCAGAAGAAGAGAAAGAAAGGGGUCAAACACUAGAACACCAAAAUCUAUCAAAUUGAAAGGGGAAUUGAAGCCUAGUUGAAUGCAUGAACUAAGAAUGGUGAUCAUCUAAGCAUACCCAACAUCAAAAAUUUGGUAUGAGAGUCAUGUCAAUAGAGGCACAAAUAUGGAAGCGCUACGGGUCGAAGGUAAACACGGAAGCUAUGUGUAAAUUCGGAUGCACGAGGUAAGUAAACUCCCCGACUCCUUCCUUAGUAGUAAAAGAGGUUAUUUGUAUGAUAAAUGUUAGCAAUUAUGCAAGAUGCUUUAUUGACAUUGGUAACAAGUAAGGAGCAUUACGGACGUGAUUUCUGAAUCACUUCCUACACCAUUUUAGGAAGGCUAUAUGCGAGUCACUUAAGUAUGGUAAUCUAAGUUUAUUUAGGAUUCGGUUAUUGGAGGUUAUGGUAUUCGCUAAGAAGACCGAACGGGUUAAAAUAAGAGUAUAUUAGUGU
rnacentral:lncRNA from 1 species